GCGAACUGUCAUACCAUUCUGAAAAAACCGGUUCUCGUCCGAUCCCCAAAGCAGCAUUGGAUCUGGCUAGUACUUGGAUGGUUGCCCGCCUGGGAAUGCCAGAUGCAGUUCUCU
rnacentral:rRNA from 1 species